UGCCCAGUAGCGGCGAGCGAAGCGGCAAGAGCUCAGAUUUGAAAUCUGGCCGCCCCCGGGCGGUCCGAGUUGUAAUCUGCAGGGGAGCCUUCGGGCUGCCGCGGCCUGCCUAAGUCCCCUGGAACGGGGCGCCAUGGAGGGUGAGAGCCCCGUGUGGUAGGCCGCAGCGGUCCUUGUGAUGCUCCUCCGACGAGUCGAGUAGUUUGGGAAUGCUGCUCUAAACGGGAGGUAUAUUCCUUCUAAAGCUAAAUACCGGCCGGAGACCGAUAGCGCACAAGUAGAGUGAUCGAAAGGUGAAAAGCACUUUGGAAAGAGAGUGAAAUAGUACGUGAAAUUGUUGCAGGGGAAGCGCUCUUGACCAGUCGCGCGCCGGGGGCCCAGCCGUCGUUCACUCGGGGGGCGCCGCGCCCCCUGGUUGCGGGUCAGCACCGGCUCCCGC
rnacentral:rRNA from 1 species